rnacentral:rRNA from 1 species
GACGAACGCUGGCGGCGUGCUUAGCACAUGCAAGUCGAACGGAAAGGCCCUGCUUUUGUGGGGUGCUCGAGUGGCGAACGGGUGAGUAACACGUGAGUAACCUGCCCUUGACUUUGGGAUAACUUCAGGAAACUGGGGCUAAUACCGGAUAGGAGCUCCUGCUGCAUGGUGGGGGUUGGAAAGUUUCGGCGGUUGGGGAUGGACUCGCGGCUUAUCAGCUUGUUGGUGGGGUAGUGGCUUACCAAGGCUUUGACGGGUAGCCGGCCUGAGAGGGUGACCGGCGACAUUGGGACUGAGAGACGGCCCAGACUCCUACGGGAGGCAGCAGUGGGGAAUAUUGCACAAUGGGCGGAAGCCUGAUGCAGCAACGCCGCGUGCGGGAUGACGGCCUUCGGGUUGUAAACCGCUUUCGCCUGUGACGAAGCGUGAGUGACGGUAAUGGGUAAAGAAGCACCGGCUAACUACGUG